AACCCUUUCUCAUGAAGUGCAGAUCCUCGAAGCCCAUUGCCUUCCACAUUGAAAUCUGCACAACGGAAUAGAUGGUCGCACCGUCACUUCAAUUAGCAAAACAAGAAUGAGUUCAGACCUUUCAACAUAUGCAACCGACGAUACGCUUGAUACUUGGCACAGACAAACUCGAAGAAAGAGCACAAAUUACCACAAAUACAUAGGGGUACGCAUUUCCAUUGUGUGUUUUUCUACAACCAUGCUAACAUCAUCCUUGAACGAAUGAGAAAAAAACCUAGACAAAAACAUUCAUAACGUGCGCCACAACAUGAGGCAACGAAGGUCACUUCCCAUGUCACCAAUCCUCCUCCUACUCCUCCUCCUCCUCCUCCUUCUUCUUCCUUUUUCCCCCCUAAAACAAUUACACCGGUGACGCAUAUAACCAUGGAUGCCGCGCAAUACUCGACUCGGAAGACCAUCGGGAUUUCAAAAACCUUCGUGAGAAAAGCACAAUUCUCGCGAUUCCAUCUCACCGCCACCGGAAAUUAAGGAAUCAAACCAGACGCCACUCCACAGUACUGUUCGAUCGAAUUCCGCUCCGCGCCUUCCCGGCCGCGCCACGGCACGAGCCACGGCCGGCGGUCGCGAUCGAUACGACAUCGAGACGGCAAAGCGGACGCACGAUCGCACGCUCCACCGAACCCCCGGCGCGCGCAAUUCUCGAACCGAACGAAAGCACGACGCGCCGCGAUCGUCCCUCCGAGGCUCAACCCGUACAGACGGUCGGAGAACGAACGAGCAGCGAGAAAGAGAGAGAGAGAGGAAGGCUCUCGCGAAGCCGAGGCGAUCGACGGAAAGGCACGAAGAGACCGGGGGGGAAAAAAAGACGUGGGAGGAAAAGGGCGGGUUACCUAAGUUGCAGUCGGCGGGGUUGAGCGCCACGUGGCGGCGGCGGGUGCGGUGGUGCUCCGGCUCCGAGGCGGAGGCGCCGCCGUGCCUCGUCCUCUUGGGGUUCGGGUCGAAGUAGUCUUCGCCGGGAGGUUCGCGCUUCAGGGAAGCCAUUUCGCCACCCCGAGUCUGAAGCUGAAUCAGUUCCGGCACAAGAGAGAGAAAGAGAGAGAGAGAGAGAGAGAGAAG
rnacentral:lncRNA from 1 species